rnacentral:rRNA from 1 species
UGGGGAAUAUUGGGCAAUGGGGGAAACCCUGACCCAGCAACGCCGCGUGAGGGAAGAAGGUUUUCGGAUUGUAAACCUCUGUCCUUGGUGAAGAAGAAAGUGACGGUAGCCAAGGAGGAAGCCCCGGCUAACUACGUGCCAGCAGCCGCGGUAAUACGUAGGGGGCGAGCGUUGUCCGGAAUGACUGGGCGUAAAGGGCGUGUAGGCGGCCGAUUAAGUCCGGAGGGAAAGUCCUGCUUUCAAGGUGGGAAUAGCUUUGGAAACUGGUUGGCUUGAGUGCGGAAGAGGUAAGUGGAAUUCCCAGUGUAGCGGUGAAAUGCGUAGAGAUUGGGAGGAACACCAGUGGCGAAGGCGACUUACUGGCCCAUUUCUGACGCUCAGACACGAAAGCUAAGGUAGCAAACG